UGGAGAGUUUGAUCCUGGCUCAGAUUGAACGCUGGCGGCAGGCCUAACACAUGCAAGUCGAACGGUAACAGGAAGCAGCUUGCUGCUUYGCUGACGAGUGGCGGACGGGUGAGUAAUGUCUGGGGAUCUGCCUGAUGGAGGGGGAUAACUACUGGAAACGGUAGCUAAUACCGCAUAACGUCGCAAGACCAAAGAGGGGGACCUUCGGGCCUCUUGCCAUCAGAUGAACCCAGAUGGGAUUAGCUAGUAGGUGGGGUAACGGCUCACCUAGGCGACGAUCCCUAGCUGGUCUGAGAGGAUGACCAGCCACACUGGAACUGAGACACGGUCCAGACUCCUACGGGAGGCAGCAGUGGGGAAUAUUGCACAAUGGGCGCAAGCCUGAUGCAGCCAUGCCGCGUGUAUGAAGAAGGCCUUCGGGUUGUAAAGUACUUUCAGCGAGGAGGAAGGUGGUGAGUUUAAUACRCUCAUCAAUUGACGUUACUCGCAGAAGAAGCACCGGCUAACUCCGUGCCAGCAGCCGCGGUA
rnacentral:rRNA from 1 species